UGGGUAGUCCGCACGAGCGCACCUUACUUUUAGUUGCUACCAUUCAGUUGGGCACUCUAAAAGAACUGCCAGUGAUAAGCUGGAGGAAGGUGGGGAUGACGUCAAGUCCUCAUGGCCCUUACGUGUUGGGCUACACACGUGCUACAAUGGUAUUUACAGUGGGAAGCAAAGAGGCAACUCCUAGCCAACCCCAAAAAGAUACCUCAGUUCGGAUUGUACUCUGCAACUCGAGUACAUGAAGCUGGAAUUGCUAGUAAUCGCGGAUCAGCGCGCCGCGGUGAAUACGUUCCCGGGUCUUGUACAAACCGCCCGUCACACCAUGGAAGUUGGUUACACCUUAAGGCAAAGUGUAAAAUCUUUGACUACGGUACGAUCAGCGACUGGGGUGAAGUCGUAACAAGGUAGCCGUAGGGGAACCUGCGGCUGGAUCACCUCCUUUCU
rnacentral:rRNA from 1 species